rnacentral:rRNA from 1 species
CACGUAAGGGGCGAGCGUUGUUCGGAAUUAUUGGGCGUAAAGGGCACGCAGGCGGUUGUGCAAGUCUGAUGGGAAAGACCUGGGCUCAACUCAGGGAACGCGUUGGAAACUGCAUGACUAGAGUAUUAGAGGGGGAGUCGGAAUUCCUAGUGUAGGGGUGAAAUCUGUUGAUAUUAGGAAGAACACCGGUGGCGAAGGCGGACUCCUGGCUGAAUACUGACGCUGAGGUGCGAAAGCAUAGGGAGCAAACAGG